UGGGAUGGGCCACUCUACCUGCAUGUCACUGACCACCUCCCACUGCUCUGGGUUCUACCAUUUGAGGAGACACCUGCAUAGGUCAAAGGCUGGGUGGCUAAGAGAGCUGACGGCACUCCUGAUCUCUGGGCCUGGCAUGAGAAGACAUUGGUGGGAAAGGCCGAUAGAGGGGCUCAUCCAUCCCUUGAGGAGGAAUAAAUGAAUCCCUGGAGUCUCCAAUGCCCAGAGACUCCUCUUCUGGUCUUAGCCUUGUCCACAUUUGGACAUGCACUUUGAUAUAAUGUCAAAAUUUUGGCAAAAGGACUAGUCCUAAGAGUAAGUCUGUUGAGGUGGUGGGAUACUGGGUCUCAGUUACAGGCUCCACUCUAAAACCAGAGAAAGCAAGAGGAAGGAGGAGGAGGAGGAAGAGAGAAGGAGAAGGAGAUGGAAGAGACAAAGAAAUAAGGAAGAGACAAGUCUCUUGUUAUGAAAUGCAUACAAUCUUCAUUUUUGUCCAAGAAAAAGAGAGAAGAGCUAUGGAUUUGGUAUUUCUUUUCUACCAUGUUUAUGAAUUUUCAAAAGGAUACUUUUGAUGUUAGAUAAAAAAGAAAACAAAGAGAAAAAAGUUGCUUUGAAGUAGAAAAAUUCUUUGUUUGACAUGCCAUUUCUGUGCCAAUAAAUGAUGAAAAGUUUG
rnacentral:lncRNA from 1 species